rnacentral:rRNA from 1 species
AUUGAACGCUGGCGGCAUGCCUUACACAUGCAAGUCGAACGGCAGCACGGGAGCAUCCUGGUGGCGAGUGGCGAACGGGUGAGUAAUAUAUCGGAACGUGCCAGUCGUGGGGAUAACGUAGCGAAAGCUACGCUAAUACCGCAUACGAUCUAUGGAUGAAAGCGGGGGAUCGCAAGACCUCGCGCGAUUGGAGCGGCCGAUAUCAGAUUAGGUAGUUGGUGAGGUAAAGGCUCACCAAGCCGACGAUCUGUAGCUGGUCUGAGAGGACGACCAGCACACUGGGACUGAGACACGGCCCAGACUCCUAC